GUGUUGUGAAAUGUUGGGUUAAGUCCCGCAACGAGCGCAACCCUUGUCCUAUGUUGCCAGCACUUCGGUGGGAACUCAUGGGAGACUGCCGGUGAUAAACCGGAGGAAGGUGGGGACGACGUCAAGUCAUCAUGGCCCUUACGAGUAGGGCUACACACGUGCUACAAUGGUCAGUACAAAGGGUUAAUCCCAUAAAGCUGGUCGUAGUCCGGAUCGGAGUCUGCAACUCGACUCCGUGAAGUCGGAAUCGCUAGUAAUCGUGGAUCAGAAUGCCACGGUGAAUACGUUCCCGGGCCUUGACACACCGCCCGUCACACCAUGGGAGUGGGCUGCAAAAGAAGUGGGUAGUUUAACC
rnacentral:rRNA from 1 species